CGCCGGCCGUGUGCGGUGGCCCAGCUCUCCGCCGCUCUCCGCCUCUCUAGGCUCGGCUCCCAUCGCAGCUAACGGAGCCCCAGGUCCGGGCCGGACAGCCCGUGUGUGCCGCAGAAGCUCCGAGAUGAGUGUGACCGAGAUGAGUGUGAUGCACGGAGGGAGCCAGGAAACGCUGGUAUUUCUGCCUGUCGCUUAUCAUCUGGUUGAGCUGGUGGCAGGAGUCCUGGCCCAUGUGUAUUACCAGAGGGCGAGUGAACGUUUCCUCCUCCUCCAUUCUCUGUCCAUGCCCCGAUGAGGCAAUGUGGGGGGACCCCCGAUGAAGCAAUGCAGGGGGAUAACAAUGUGGGGGAUGCAUUGUGAUGAGGGAAGCCGAGGUAGGCACAGGGGUGGCCCCGUUUCCCGCCCUGGCAAUCGUCCACACAUGCGGAUCCCAGCUGCUGGUCCCAGCUCCGGCAAUUCCCAGAUUCCACUGAUACUGCUGUCUUUCACAUGGGAGUUGGGGAGGGGGGUUCCCAUGGGAAGUUACGUCAUCCCUCUUCCCUUUCAAGAAUGGUCUAGAGGAUGAAUCUAUCUGUCAGAGACAUCCAAGAAGAAAGGCCUGGGCCAGGAUCCCACGGAAGACUGUGAAGUCAGGAUCAGGUCUUGCCUGCCUGGAUUGGACAGGGACGCAGUGACCAGUCCCAUCAGCUCCCACCCUGCUGCCCUCUGAAUCGAGAGUUUGAGGUCAUGACCAGGGUAACAUUCAGCUGGUAGAGACAGCACAACCUUGCUGGUUGUUUAAGCCAGUGCUGGAAUGGUGCUCACAGGGUAACAAUUGUAAGUAUUUUGAAUAUCACCUCUUAAUGGAAAUUGAGAUCAGCAGACAUUUCACAGUUUCUGGUGUCUAGCCGCACCCCUGCCUCCUGCCAGCUCUGGCUGCCACCCUUUACCCGAGCCACCACCUGGCAUCACACCUGCGCAUCGGCCCUGCGCAUCACACCUGCACCCUGACUCAGGGCCCAGCUGCUGUAACUUCCUCUCCAUGGCCUUCUGCUGCCCUGUCUCCCAGUGACGGUCUUCACACCGUCCAGAGACCACAGUGCUCUAGAGUUAGCUGGGAAGCCUGGGAGCAGGCCUGGGUGCUGGGCAGGGGUGGCGUGGUCCCGCUGAUGCCAUCUUCACCACUGCUCAGCUGAGUGAUGAACAGAAGCAGCGCUUGAGCUGGACUCUGACCGAGAACUACAGGUAGGCUGGAGCCACACAGAUCCCCGCCUCCGUAGACCAGCUGUAGCAGGAGGUACACUGUGCCCUAUGCCCUUGAAGGCCAAAAAGACACAGGUUCAAAUCCUGACUCUCGUCUUUCCUGUCUGUGUGACCCUGGGCAAGUUACUUACCCUCUCUGAGCUUCAGUUGUCACAUCCCUAAAAUGAAGUGUCUUUGGGGUGUGUGAGCAUUAAAUUUGGUCACAUCUGUAAAGUCUCCACCACCGUGAGAAGUGUCUGCUGAAGCCUGAUUCCUUUCCCUCCUUCUCCCUGACUCCCUCCUCCAAGCCCACCCCUGCUGCCUUCCCGUUCUGGGUCCUGGUGGGCAGGAAGCUGGCAGUGCCAGGAGAACUCCAUCUUCUGCCAGGAUCUGGGCCAGGCGGCCUCUCUCAGGGCUUCUAUCUGGGACUGCCUUCCUUCUUCCCUAGGGAGCAGGGAGCUGAGUUCCCAUAAGAGGGAGCGGUACCGGGCAGGGGUAUUUCAGUGAAGCCACCAAGAGAACGCCCCAGUUGUGAGCCAGCAGGCAGAGCGCUGAGGGACAGAAAGGUGGUCUCCUUUCCAAGAAGAGACGCGGCAGAUCUCUCCAGCGAGGCCCACCAUCCUGCCAGACAUAGGGGGCGGGCAGAGGACCUCAGAGCUGUGCUGUCCAAUACGGCAGCCACCACCCACAUGUGGCUAUUUACAGUUAAAUUAAACAAAAUCCAGUUCCUUGCUCACACCAACCACAUUCCAGGCACUCAGGAGCCCCAGAUGGUGAGUGAACGCCGAGCGGGGCAGCACAGAUGCAGGACGCUGC